rnacentral:rRNA from 1 species
GUGCGGAACACGUGUGCAACCUGCCUUUAUCUGGGGGAUAGCCUUUCGAAAGGAAGAUUAAUACCCCAUAAUAUAUUGAGUGGCAUCACUUGAUAUUGAAAACUCCGGUGGAUAGAGAUGGGCACGCGCAAGAUUAGAUAGUUGGUGAGGUAACGGCUCACCAAGUCAAUGAUCUUUAGGGGGCCUGAGAGGGUGAUCCCCCACACUGGUACUGAGACACGGACCAGACUCCUACGGGAGGCAGCAGUGAGGAAUAUUGGACAAUGGGUGAGAGCCUGAUCCAGCCAUCCCGCGUGAAGGACGACUGCCCUAUGGGUUGUAAACUUCUUUUAUACUGGGAUAAACCUACCCUUCGUGAGGGUAGCUGAAGGUACAGUAUGAAUAAGCACCGGCUAACUCCGUGCCAGCAGCCGCGGUAAUACGGAGGGUGCAAGCGUUAUCCGGAUUUAUUGGGUUUAAAGGGUCCGUAGGCGGACUCGUAAGUCAGUGGUGAAAUCUCAUAGCUUAACUAUGAAACUGCCAUUGAUACUGCGGGUCUUGAGUAAAGUAGAAGUGGCUGGAAUAAGUAGUGUAGCGGUGAAAUGCAUAGAUAUUACUUAGAACACCAAUUGCGAAGGCAGGUCACUAUGUUUUAACUGACGCUGAUGGACGAAAGCGUGGGGAGCGAACAGGAUUAGAUACCCUGGUAGUCCACGCCGUAAACGAUGCUAACUCGUUUUUGGGUUUUCGGAUUCAGAGACUAAGCGAAAGUGAUAAGUUAGCCACCUGGGGAGUACGUUCGCAAGAAUGAAACUCAAAGGAAUUGACGGGGGCCCGCACAAGCGGUGGAUUAUGUGGUUUAAUUCGAUGAUACGCGAGGAACCUUACCAAGGCUUAAAUGGGAAUUGACAGGUUUAGAAAUAGAUCCUUCUUCGGACAAUUUUCAAGGUGCUGCAUGGUUGUCGUCAGCUCGUGCCGUGAGGUGUUAGGUUAAGUCCUGCAACGAGCGCAACCCCUGUCACUAGUUGCCAUCAUUCAGUUGGGGACUCUAGUGAGACUGCCUACGCAAGUAGAGAGGAAGGUGGGGAUGACGUCAAAUCAUCACGGCCCUUACGCCUUGGGCCACACACGUAAUACAAUGGCCGGUACAGAGGGCAGCUACUAUGCGAAUAGAUGCGAAUC